UCGAACGAUGACCCAGGAGCUUGCUUCUGGUGAUUAGUGGCGAACGGGUGAGUAACACGUGAGCAAUCUGCCCUUGACUCUGGGAUAAGCGUUGGAAACGACGUCUAAUACCGGAUACGACCCGUGGAGGCAUCUCCUAUGGGUGGAAAGGAUUUUGGUCAAGGAUGAGCUCGCGGCCUAUCAGCUUGUUGGUGAGGUAAUGGCUCACCAAGGCGACGACGGGUAGCCGGCCUGAGAGGGUGACCGGCCACACUGGGACUGAGACACGGCCCAGACUCCUACGGGAGGCAGCAGUGGGGAAUAUUGCACAAUGGGCGCAAGCCUGAUGCAGCAACGCCGCGUGAGGGACGACGGCCUUCGGGUUGUAAACCUCUUUUAGCAGGGAAGAAGGGAGCUUGCUCUUGACGGUACCUGCAGAAAAAGCACCGGCUAACUACGUGCCAGCAGCCGCGGUAAUACGUAGGGUGCAAGCGUUGUCCGGAAUUAUUGGGCGUAAAGAGCUCGUAGGCGGUUUGUCGCGUCUGCUGUGAAAUCCCGAGGCUCAACCUCGGGCCUGCAGUGGGUACGGGCAGACUAGAGUGCGGUAGGGGAGAUUGGAAUUCCUGGUGUAGCGGUGGAAUGCGCAGAUAUCAGGAGGAACACCGAUGGCGAAGGCAGAUCUCUGGGCCGUAACUGACGCUGAGGAGCGAAAGCGUGGGGAGCGAACAGGAUUAGAUACC
rnacentral:rRNA from 1 species